rnacentral:lncRNA from 1 species
CAAGAGCACUUAAACUUGCCAAAGUCAUUUUUAUCUUAAAACACACACAAACAGAGCAUUCCUAUUCUACUCCCUUUUAUAGCCAAGCUUUGUGAAGCUUUCUGUCUUUCUAUUUACUUUCUCCCUUUUAGAAAACAUAUUAAAGUAUUUCAAUUAUGCUAUGCUUCCCAAACUAUUGCAAUCUGAAUCCCACCUUACCUAACCUACUCUUGCUGAGGCCACGAGUGACCUUCGCGUUGCUAACACCAAUGGUCACGUUCACUCAGUAUCUUAUUUGACAUCUCAGCAUUUAGCACAGGCAGAUAGCUUCCUCCCCUGGGAUAAAAGACAUGCCACCCUCCUCUCCUGUUUUUUUUUCUCAUCUUUUCCACUCUUCCUUUCUCUUCUCCUUUAGUGUCUCUUCCUCCUCUAUCUGCAUUUAUUUUUUAAAACUUUUAUUGAAAUAAGGUUGAUUUACAAUAUUGUAUUAGUUUUAUGUAUACAGCAAAUUGAUUUAGUUAUACACACAGAUAUAUAAUCUCUUAUUUUUAAGAUUAUUUUUCAUUAUAUGUUACUACAAGAUUUAAUUAGUUUCCUGUGCUAUGUAGUAGGUCCUUGUUAGUUAUCCACUUCAUAUACAGUAGUGUAUAUAUUUUAAUCCCAGACUCCUAAUUUACUCCUCCCACCCACUUUCCCCUUUGGUAACCAUAAGUUUGUUUUCUAUGUCUUUGAUUUAUUUCUCUAUUGUAAAUAAGUUCAUAAGUCCCUUUUUUAGACUACGUAUAUAAGUGAUAGCAUAUGAUAUUUGUCUUUGCUCAACUGACUUCAGUCAGUAUGAUAAUCUUUAGGUCCAUCUAUGUUGCUGUAAAUGGCAUUAUUUCAUUCAUUUUUAUGGCGGACUAAUAUUCCAUUGUAUAUAUGUACCACAUCUUAAUCCAUUCAUCUGUUUAUGGACAUUUAGGUCAUUUCCAUGCCUUGGCUGUUGUGAAUAGUGCUACAGUGAACAUUGGGUGUAUGUAUCUUUUCAAAGUAUAGUUUCUCCAGAUGUAUACCCAGGAGUGGGAUUGAUGAUCUUAUGGUAAUUCUAUUUUUUUAGUUUUUGAAGCAAUUUUCAUAUUAUUAUCCAUAGUGGCUGUACCUUUUUACAUUCCCACCAGCAGUGUAAGAGGGUUUCCUUUUCUCCACACUCUUUCCAGCAUUUAUUAUUUUCUACCCAUGUUUAAAUGAUGGAAUUCCUGAGGGAACUGCUUAAAGUCUUCCUCUUUUCUCAUUCACCACACUCACAUCCUCAGCAAUCUCAACCAGUCCUGUGAGUCAUGUUCCACUUGUACAUAGACAACUCCCAGAUAUAUACCUAGACCAGACCUAUCCAGACCAACUGGAUAUAUGGUCUGAAAUUCAGAGCCAUAUAUCCAGUUGACAGUUCAACAUCUACUUAGAUAUGCACAGACAACUAAAACACAUGUCUAAGUCUGAACCAAUUUUCCCACCCAAAACUCCUUUCUGUCAGUGUUUUCUUUUGAAAAGUACAUCACAUACUCCUUGUGGCUCCUGACAGAAACCAGGGAACAAGUUUGGACCAAAGCACAGACAAUAGUAACCAUUUGUUCCACAUUUAUUUAGUGGGUGUUAAUAGUCUCCUAGGCAGCCAUAACAAGUUACCAUAAACUUGGUAGCUUAAAACAACAGAAAUCUCUUCUCUCACAGUUCUGGAGGUGAGAUGUCUGAAAUCAAGGUGUCAGCAUGGCCAUGCUCCCUUUGAAAGUCUCAGGUUGCUGUGGGUUGAAUUCGCUCUUCCAGCUGUUGGUGGCUCCAGGUGCUCCUUGGCUUGUGGCUGUGAAACCAAUCCUACCUCUGUCUUCAUGUGGCCCUCCUCUUUGUCUCAGCAUCCUUUAUUCUUUUGUAAAGACAUAUGUUACUGGAUUUAGGGCCCACUCUCAAUCCAGGACGAUUUCAUCUCCAGAUCCUUAACUAAUUACAUCUGCAAAAACCAUGUUCCUGAAUGAAGUCACAUUCUGAAGUUCUGAGUGGACAUGAAUUUCUGGGGACACUAUUAAACUUACUACCAGGAGAAUGGAAAGGAAUAAAUUUCAUAAUUCAAGAAAUAUAGACAGUAAAGUAUUCACUUAUUAAUUCACUUCCACAAGCCAAAACAUGGAAAAAAAAAUAAUUUUUUGGGGGGAGGGGAAUGACAAAAUCCUUUUCACUUUUCUCCAGUUUUAGUUUUCCUCAGCUAUUUUGCUUUGUUUUCCUAUGCUCCAAACUUAAUGAUGUAUUGUUUGGUAGAUAAAAAAAUAUUUAAAUUCUGAUAGUUAAACACAAAAACAGAAAAACGAUGUAUUUCAGUAAAUGGCAUUAGGCCUAGUUGGCUUUAAGAUCUUAACUGGUUCUAAGGGCUCAUUUUCAGCUGACUGCUCUGAAAACAGGUUCAGAGAGAGGCCUGCCCUAGUGGAGAGGGCGUUGUUGUUUCUCAGUUUCCACUCAUGGGUACUGUAUACUUAGCACUGUGUACAGUGGACUCUAUUUUAAGUUUACUAAGUUAUCCUGUGGAGUUAUCUGGUGAAGUUGUAACGCCUUUGAAAGGUCAGCAUUCUGACCUCUGUCAUGCUGAUUCUCCAUGGAACUUUGUCUGUCCAAGGUCAACCUUCAUAUGGCCUUCCCUCUCAUUCCCUACAUCCAAUCAAGUCCACCGAUUCUACACUCUAAAUAUCUCUCCCAUCCACCCACUUCUCUCUACCUCUACUGCCACAGCCCUAGUCCAAGCCACCACAUUCCCUGCUUGAACAACCUCAAUAGCUUCCUAACUAACCUUCCCAAACUUGCACAAAGCAACACUGUAAACUUUUUUAGAUACAAGAUUGAUCAUUUCACUCAUCCAUUUCAGUAUCAUUCUAUUCCCAUAUUUCAGAGGCCAAGCUCUUUACUAAGGCCCUCAUGGCACACUGCCUUCCGCACCCAAAAGAAGUUCUGCAGCUUUAUCUCUUACCAUGCUUGUUCUACAAAGCUCUGUUUCUUGAGAAUGUCAAACUCUCUCAAAAUACCUCAGGGCUUUUGCAUGUGCUAUUCCCUUUGGCUGGUGUAUUGCUUAAGAAUUUUACUUUUUUUUUUUACUUUUUUUUUUUAGCUAUUUCUUGGGCCGCUCCCACGGCAUAUGGAGGUUCCCAGGCUAGGGGUCCAAUCAGAGCUGUAGCCACCGGCCUACAGCAGAGCCACAGCAACGCGGGAUCCGAGACAUGUCUGCAACCUACACCACAGCUCACGGCAACGCCGGAUCCUUAACCCACUGAGCAAGGGCAGGGACCGAACCCGCAACCUCAUAGUUCCUAGUCGGAUUCGUUAAUCACUGCGCCACGACGGGAACUCCAAUUGCUUAAGAAUUUUAAAGCACAGGUUUUGUAUUGCAUUUGAGAUCCUAUUCUGUUGUUUAUGAAUUGUAUGGUCUUUUGCAAGUCUUUGAACUCCUCUAAGCCUCACUCUCUUCAUUUAAAAAAAAAAAAAGUGCAUGAAAAUAGCAUUCCCAAAAUUAGUAUAUGGACAAAUAAGAAAAGGAAUUUAAAAAAAUCUUCAAAGUUACAUAGUGCUAUAUAAAUUCUAGUUAUAAUUAUUACCGUUAUUCUAACAGAACUAUCCAACUGAAAGCCUUGAAUCUCACUUUAAAGUACAACUUAAGGACAAAGUUGACAGAUCUGUAUCAGUAUGUAAGUGCUUGCAGAAGAAUUUUUUUUUAUUAUUCUAAAAUUGAUUAUGUUCUAUCUAUAUACCUAUUAUAAUAAUUUGUUAAGCAUGCAAUUUUCAGCCUUUUUUUGAACAAGUUCCAAAGUAGCAGAAUCAAAAUUAAAAGUUUUAUGUCAUAUAAGGGAAAACGAGGUGGUUUCCUAUACAGUUUUAUGUGCAAUUUAUCUUGGUUGGCCUGAGAUUUUCACAGUCUUAGCAUCGAAAGUUCCAUAUCCUGAGGACCCCCCUCAGUUAGUUAAUCACACCACUGAUCAGCAAAAGUCUUUGAUGUACCUUCUGUCUGCAAGAAAAGUCCUUUCUAUGCCUCAUCCAAGGCUCCCACUCCUUGCUGACUGUAUAUGGAGGAGUUCCCUAAUGCACAUGAAAAUGGUAGAGUCAAGGAAGGGGGAGCAUUGCCUGCCUUGGUUUUUCUCAAAGCCCUGGCAAUGAGCAAGAUGCUAGGGGCUUAAGAACCUGGCUUUGGAGAGUUGCAAGUAAAUGGUAUGAUCUGAGAGCAAACCCCAGCUUCUGUAGCUACCACAGGGGCCAAGAUGGUAUCCUAUUCUGUGGGAGCAAAUAUUGAGGGUGAGGAAUGGGUACUUCCCCACCCAUGGGGAUAUAUGGGGAGAUCUCAGUGGAUUCCUACAGUGGAACAGGCCAGGCCUGUGAGUUACAGCUGUUUCAGGUCUUGGUCAUCCCAGAGAUGCUAAGCAGUACAAAAUAAAGCUGUGUUGUACUUGUUCUGCUGGGCACUUGCCAUGCUGCUCACUAGCAAGGAACUGUCUCAUGAAUGCUGGGUGCUGGGGAAUCUCACCAGGGAAGACAAGGGCUUAAGAGAGGGGAAGUGCUACCCAUGUCACAAAAUUUCUGUCCUAAAGUUUGUACCAGAACAGUGCUAAGGCAAGGUUCAUGGUUUCAAAGCUACCAUGGCAGCCUACCUCCAGUGUCAUACUCAUUAGUGAGUUUUCAUGCCCUGCCUGUCCAGAGCCCAAGGCAUUUAUUAUUAUUAUUAUUUUUUUUUUUGCUGUACUUGUGGCAUAUGGAAGUCCUAGGUCAGGAAUUGUUGCAAGACAUGUUUUUAUAAUAUUUCCUUAGCCUCUUUGCUGAAAACUCCAUCUUGUCCUUCUUUACUUUAUUCCACCUUCCGGCUUGAAAAACAGUCACAGUGAUGGUAAAUGAUUUAAGCUUAAGAACAAAGACCUAAGGGCAUGGGUUAUUCGCGGGGUCAGCUGAAUGAGGACAGAAUACAAUGGUCUAGGUGCACCGGACCUGUGCAGAUUGGCACGCCAUUUGCACAAGCAUGAUAUGUCCUCUAAAGAAUAAGAGAAAGAGGAACCUCAUGGCUAAAUGGUUUAUGAGUGGUCGUUUGCAGAAUAUGCAUUAGCAAAGAGAACCAAGGUGCAAACCUAGGCACACAAGGUUGCCGCAAAUAGGCAUGCUGGUUUGCUGAAGCACAGUGAGGAUUCUCUGAAAUGCUAUGCAUAGAUAGCUAACUCAUAUGCUAAUCAUUCUUAAAUGCCUAAAGUUUAGAGUAAAAAGUUUAACCAUUUACCAGCUAAGUGACUUUUAAUAUAAUAAAAAAACCCUAUAUCCUGCACCCACAACCCCCUUUUCACUUGACAUAAUCCUCAAGAGCACAAUACAAGCAGUGUGGUUUCUUGAGGCAGGGCUCUUGCUUGUUGGUCCCUGAGACCUUGAGUCCCCUGGUUCCUACCUUUACUUAAGAUAAAUGUCUCUGUGUCUUGUUUUAUGUUAACUUUUUUUCCUUAAGUUCCAUAGCACCCAUUCUUCAGCCCCAUCCUGCUGAGCUGGUCUCGGCGAGGAAUCAAAUCCAAGUCACAGCUGUGACCUAUGGCACACCCUCUGUGACCUAUACCUCAGCUUGCUCAACCCUAGAUCCUUAACCUAUUGAAUGAGGCCAUGGAUCGAACUGCAUCCUCAGCAGUGACCUGAACUGGUGCAGAGACAACACUGGCUCCUGAACCUGCUGUGUCCAGAGCUCAAGGCAUUUAUAACUGGUGCUCAGCCUUCUCAGUCCUCCCCACAUUCAUCUACGACAUACUUACUAUCACUUCCAAACCCAGAAUCAUCACCAUUUUUCCAACUCCUACCCUCUUCUCAAUGUCUUCCCUCUUUUGGGUGGCAUCUUCUUUUGUAUAAAAUGAGUUUUCUUUCCUCACUCUGCCCUUUUAUGGGGAGCUACCUCAUAAUUGGCCAGUGAUUUCCUGUUUCCAUUCAUGUUAUGACCUAUUGUUAAUUCAUCUCCUGAAGAAAAGAAAGAGCAAGCCUUCAGUGUACUUUCUUGGUAGGUGCCCGUUUUGGUAGGGUUCACAUUAUAUCCUAAGUAAAUUAUUGAUAGAAGAACUGGAAGCAUGGCUACAAGGAAAACAGCAAAAUGAAUCCCAGGUUUUUAUAACAGAAGAAUCACACCGUUGUCAUAGUGUUUUUUUUUCCUAGUGAAGACAUGGCAUUCUUCUGCUAAUCUGGUUAUAAACACCCAGGGUUGGGGUCUAAGUACUAAUUUUCUUUACACUGAAAUAUGCUAGGAGGAUUGUGUAGUGUCCUGUCAGGGCUGUGGGGUCAAUUACUUAAACAUGACAACAUCAUUGUCUUAGUUUUUGACAUUUUGUCAGAACGUAGCAGCAGUUCAUCUGAUGCUCUCUGUGGCAGUGGGUUCCUUGUUUGCCUUAGCCCACAGCUUGAGCUAUCCUUUUGUUUAUUUUGGUUCUUUUUGAAAGGCCCUUUUUGUGGUCUUAGGCACUAUAAGUAGAUGGAGUGAAACCAGGAGUUAAUGUGUAAAGUUUUUCAUCUUCAGAGAGUUUCGUUUCAAACUCACUCUGGGUCACAUGUACACGGAGUUGAGUUUUUGUUUGGAUAGAAUGCUUUGGCUUGGAGAGAAAGAACAGGAAGUGGUACAUUCCAGCCCCCAGGCAGCAGCUUCUGCUUGUCAAGCCUUUCUGGACAAUAAGUUCACAGACAUUUAGUAAGGGUGACUCUGGGAAGUAAUUUACAAAUUAUGCUAAGAGAAACAC